rnacentral:lncRNA from 1 species
AUAAUAUAUUUUUAGCCUCAUGAAGUUUAUGUUUACAAAUAAUCCAUCCAAUCAUAAGGAAGAACUAAAAGAUUCUAGGUCAACUUUAAUGUUUUAAAACAAGCAUGAGGCAGGCGACCAGAGGAAUGCUUAGCGCUCAAAUGCAAGGCAAGUGCAACCACAGCUGCACCAAUGGGAGCAACAAAACCACCACCACCAUAAGUGGUGUUGCAGGCAACACUGACAGCAACAAAACCACCAUUCUCGAUGGUAUUGUGGAACCACCGGCAACAGCAGACUAUAUCACCAAUGGUGGUGUUACAGAAACAACCAGCAACAACAUAACCACCACCAUUGUUGCUGGUGAUAGCCUUAGGUCCUCUCCUUAAAAAUAGAAAAGAAAAAGAAAAUUAAAAGGAAAAUAGAGGAAGAAAAUAGAAAAAAUAAGCUUACCAUCCUUUGUCGUUUGCCGCUCCACCACCACCUCCACCCAAAUAGCUUCUUCACAAGGCUCCACCAACAUUUUUGCUACUCAUUGCUCACCCUCACUGCCAACCCGAUGACCACCACCGACCAGGCCACCAGAUGAGCUAGGGUUUUGUUGAUGGGAGGAGAUGUGGAAACGGGAGAGUAAUCAAAAGGGAUUGAGGAAUGCAAAAGGAUAAAGUUGAAAAUAGUUUGAGCAAGGUCCUCUAUCAUGGUAUGAGUCUCGUACCAAUAACUUACUAGUUUGACAUGGUAUGUUAGUGCGGUAUUACACACCCUGUAUCGAGAUAGCUUCCAAGCUUUUUUUUUUCUCAUUUUUUUAUCGUAGUAUCGUCGGAAAUUGAAUAGUAUGUAUUAGAAUGGUAUGGUACUCAUUUUAGUUCUGGACGAUAUGGUAUGGUUGAGCUUGGUAUUGAUCGGUACAGAUUGGUUCGAGACCUAUACCAACUUGAAUGGCAUUUUCAUGUUAGUUCCGAUUCGAUACAGGUUAGUAUUCUCAAAAUCAGACAACUUGGGGCAGUACGACAAACAUUGAGUUCAUGUUUUGUAAGUCAUGGUACUCGACCCGUUAACCCGAACCCACUAUAUACCCUACCUAAGUGCCCACCUAGAGCACGUGCUUUAACCGCAAGAGCACAUUCAGGCGUCCGCCUCGUGGUGGGCUAAUUUCUUGGGCCGACUAGGCCCAGUCAGAGCACCAAGGGGCUCCACCUGCUUAAAGUAGGCACCUAGGCAACCGCCCAGCUCGUUUAUUAAAACAACAGUCAAUUUUAAGAAAACUAAAUGCACAUUAAAGAAGGGCAAUUGGACCUUAUCCACCAUAAAUGAAGUAAUUAUCAAAGGUAACAAACACAUAAGCAAAUUUGCAUGAAGUAAAAGCAAUUGAUGCAACAAAGUUGCAGAUGGAUAUUGUAGGAUUCUUAUAAGCCUCAAGUGGACAUAUAGGCUAGGCUACACUCGAGUAUUGCCAAAGCCUGGAUUCGAUCGCCUCUGCUACCACUAGAUCAACACUGAUCUUCAAGCCUAUAAACCAACUGUCAACAACAACUCCUCCAUCGUUACAUCCAAAAAGAUUAAUAAAGGCAAACUAUUAAUGGGAUGGGAUAGCACACAUGCCUUUUUUCUCCUCUCAGGUACGAACUCAUCCUUCAUAGAAUGGGAUGUGACAUGCUCCCUUCUCUCUUUUGUCCAAGCCAUAUCCUUUUCUGCUUAUUUCUACAACAUUUUUAUUAUUUCCGCAAACUAGAUGUUUAUCCUGUGAAGAUUGAGGUUUAUCAUGGACACCUUGGUGCUUAUUUCUACAGAAUUGGUGUUUACUCCCAGCAGGUUAGUGUUUAUUUCUACACUUAAUAUUUACUUCUUCGAACUUUCUGUUUAUCCUUCCUUGUUGUUCUUUACUAUGAGGCAAUCCUCACCUAACCGAGGGUCACUAAAUUUUUUUCUGUUUAUUUCUGCGAUGUUUUUGUUUAUUCUCACAAACUAGAUAUUUAUCAUUUUGGUGUUAGUGUUUAUCUGAAUGAGGCGAGAGAAUGUGGGCAUGGCAUGUCUCAAGAAACAGGCAUUGGUGUGUAUGGCACAUCCCAUUCCACUAAUUAAUGCAUCUCUUUUUUCCUUUUUUUCGAACAACAUGGCAACUGUUGUAACAAAGAGAGUGAGAGAGAGGGAGAGGGUCGAAAGAGAGCAUGCAAACUGUACCAAGGGAUAGGCAUAGAUGCAAUCAACGGGUCAUGUCCUAUCCUAUUAAUUAUUUGGUUUUUUUGUUUUAUGGAACGGUAGCAGUUAACGGCUAACAAGAGCUUUGGUUUCUUCCCGAUUUCUGCCAAUCAAAUGGCAGAUAAGGUAACCUGAUUUGGGACUCAUUACUCGAGUGUAGCGUAGUCAAUCUCUCUCUAUCUUUAUAAUAUGCAUAAAAGAUCUUUUCAAUGUUGAGUCAUAUGAAAGAUUUUUGAAAAGCUAUUAAACUCUUAGUGGAUAUUAGGUGAAUGUCUUGCUAACCAAACCAUGUCCAACUAAUCUCUUUAGAUCUAGGUGCAUUUGGAAGAUAAACUGUGAUCUUUAGUGAGAUUAGAGAGAUACUUCGGAGAUGCAAUACUUCUAAAAGUCCUUUAUAAGUACUUUGCUCCUCUAUUCUAUAAACAACAAAGGCAAGAUGCCAUAAAACAAAAUUUGUAGUUUGUUUUCCAUAAGGUUCGCCGUCGCAUUUUUUUCUUAUCUCCUGCCAUAAUCUUUAACCGCUUUCUUUUUCUUCGAUUCUUCUUCUCCUCCCCCUUUUCUAGUCUUUCCAAUAUUAUGUUAGCUGUCCCCAAAUAAAGCCUUACAAGUAUCAAUAUAGGCCAAUCUAUAAAUUCUACAUGCAAAUAUCUGCCCACAAUAGCCCCCAAUGAAAUCCUGGAAACCCAUCAGAAAUCAUUAUCAAAAUCUCUAGGUCUGCCUAAAUCUGUCUGCACAAUUUUUACAGACAGCAAAUAUACAGGAUCUCAGAUGCUAAUAAUCUGAUCUGUUAGCCUCCUCAUAUUUUGUAACUGAUCUUAAUAACAGGAGGCAAAUAAGUUCAUAAUGUUUCAUGAGCACUGUUAGGGGAGAAACUGGAAUAAUUUGGUAUCAAAAUAAGAGCUGAACUUAAGUUUUGGAGAGUUACAUGGUGCAAGGAUAUUGUUAAACAGGCCUUCUCUGUUUCCUUCAUAAUGAAAUGAGGACCAUCAUGAUUUUAUCAUGAUUUCUAUGACAAAAGUUACCAACGCACGCAGACUAAUGGAGUUGAAAGAUGACAUAUUUCUAGAAGUUCAUGUCCUUUAUUUUAGAACGGUAACGUAAUGCUAAUGUUGGUGAUAAUAUAUAAGCUUGGAAUAGACAAAUGGGUUUAACUUUGGUCUAAUCUUUAAAACAAUUAAUAUCAACAGUCGUGCCAAUCUAGCCCAGGAGCACAUGAAUAAUUCUCAUCUUUAGCAAAAUGUUUAGGUUUUCCUUUUUCUGGGAGAAAAAAAAAGUGAUGCAUGGUUAGUUUGUUCCUCUCUAUCUUGAUUCAAGCUUAAUACAUAAAUCAAUACUACUAGUAGAAAGGCUGCUGCUCAAAUGUUCAGUAACUGAG